ACAAGCCACCAGUGCAGAUGUGAGGAUCAGUAUGGCUGGCCUUGUGACAUGUGCUCCACUUUUGGUGAAUGCAGCAACCUUCUAGGCAAUACCUGUGGAUGCAUCAAUGCACUUCCUCCAAACAAUACUUACUGCCAGCCACUGUCAGAUCUAAAUCCCUGCCCAACGACAGCACCAACAACUACUCCUCCAGUCUUCCAUCAGUACCUUCUUUCUAUAGAGCUGAAAACAACAACAGUUGCAGCAGUAGAAAAACUGAGAAACAUCAGCUACCCCAUCAUCAGCAGCAAUCUACACAUCUCUGAUGUUAACAUCUCUACAG